rnacentral:lncRNA from 1 species
ACGUUGGAGGGAGGGGGGAACCAGCUGGGGCGGUCUGCAAUCUGCAAAGUCUAAAGUUGAACCCUGCACGUACAUCUCGCCGAUGCCGACAAUAUUUGGUUUGGUUUCAGUGAGCACGUGCUUGAACGCCUCAAAUUUUCUUGAUAUGUCCCUACUGUUAAGGCUGGCGCCUUGAUGCUCCUGCAGGCUACCAGGAAGGACCUAUUCAAUUGUGUUGGUUGUUGUGUUCGUUCUAAUGGGAUACAAGUCACAUGGCGUGAUGGACAUCAGGUGUGCAGAAAUAUGUUUGUGCUUUGAUAGUUUCCUGAUAUGCGCACAUGUGUUUUUAAUACUUCCCCUUGGAUUAUAGGAAUCAGACUUGUGAUGGAGAUCAGACAGGCAGAAAUAUGUUUGCAGUAAAUAGAGUAUAAGAGCUCCUAUGAAUUAAUAUGUUUAGAAGUUCAAUGAUCGAUCUCGUCUUAUUAGUAACUGAGUUAAGCAACAGGCAUAUGUACUAUCA